UACGAAGGGGGCUAGCGUUGCUCGGAAUCACUGGGCGUAAAGGGUGCGUAGGCGGGUCUUUAAGUCAGGGGUGAAAUCCUGGAGCUCAACUCCAGAACUGCCUUUGAUACUGAAGAUCUUGAGUUCGGGAGAGGUGAGUGGAACUGCGAGUGUAGAGGUGAAAAUUCGUAGAUAUUCGGCAAGAACACCAGUGGCGAAGGCGGCUCACUGGCCCGGAUACUGACGCUGAGGCACGAA
rnacentral:rRNA from 1 species